rnacentral:lncRNA from 1 species
GGGCAGCAGUGAGAUCCCCAUGAAGGGUCAGAACUGCUGAAAUAAAUAUCAGCUCAGCUAGGGAGAGCAAUUCCUGUAAUUAUAUCUGCUCAAUGGCUUAUAAUCAGCAUUCUUAGCAGAGCCUGUCCCUUUCAUGUUUUCUCCUCGUGUGUGCAAUAUGGGUGGCACCGAUGGUGGGGGCAGGGGGCAGAAUAACACCUUGGUUAAAAAAAAGGUGGUGGUGUUAGUGGUGGUUAUGGCUGUUUAUAUGAACAUCACUCUUAUUGAGGUUACCUUUGAAAUAAUUCCAGUGGGGCAUUUGCUGGAAUUUCUGGUGGUGGGAAAGGGGCUCUUAAGAGGCUUGGGGGACUGUGUGUUGUUUUUCACUAGGGGGAAUCCUGUGCCUAUAGACAUUUAAAAUACCAAAUAAAACUGAGCGUGUGAACGAAGCUCAGAGUUGCCAUUUUGGUCCUGCCCUCCGAGUGAGGAUCCAUUUUGGGUCCCACCCUCGUGUAGCCAUUCUCCAUCUCCCCUCUGAAAAACUUGAGAGAAACCAGCCGUCUGCCAGUCCACAGCCCGUGUGUCAUUUCCUUCUCCAAGCCUCACUCUUUCCACAGAGGAGACUUUUCAAAUUAACGUUUUCAGUUCAUUAAAGACCGUUUCGCAAACAUCUUGUUCUGGUAAAGGCAGCAUUUCAUCUGGAAAUGGUCAGGCGCACAUUGGCACAGAAUGGUGUGAGAAAGAAAAAAAUUCAAAGUCAAAUCCCUUCUCACCAAGUGGACAGAGAGUGUGCAGUAAGCCUCAACUGGGCCUUCCUUAGAGGAUGCAGAGAUUUCUUUGGAAGGGAAGAACAAAGUCAAUGAAUGAAAAUUAUUUGCUCUUGUUUGUUUUACAAAACUAGCAAGGGAAUAGGGGAGCUGGGCUUUCAUUGCCAUUCUCAAAAAAGAAAAAAAAAAAAAGAGAAUUCUCAGGGAAUGAGCAACAGCUCUCAACUGUGCCUCUUUUUCUUGCUUUUGCUAACAUCCACUGUAGCCUCUCCAGGGCUCUCUCUGUGCUUGGGGAGUAAUGCAUGAAAAUCCUUCUGCCUCCAGAAGAAAAUAUGGUCUUCUCUUCCUUGCCUGGUUUGAAGGAGACACUUUGAGAGCCUCACCCAAAUGGCUGGAUUCCUCAAAAUAAACCAAUGGAGCAAAACAGCAGUACCUGGAAAAGCUUGAGUGCUUGCGGCUGGGACAAAAUUUCAGACAGAUUCAGUUGAUGUACAACUGAAGAUAGCCUUAAAACUGGAAGGAAAACCAUGGAAUGUAAAGGGACACAUUAGCAUGUAAAGCCUGGUGCCUGC